rnacentral:rRNA from 1 species
UACGUAGGGCGCAAGCGUUGUCCGGAAUUAUUGGGCGUAAAGAGCUCGUAGGCGGCUUGUCACGUCGGGUGUGAAAGCCCGGGGCCUAACCCCGGGUCUGCAUUCGAUACGGGCUAGCUAGAGUGUGGUAGGGGAGAUCGGAAUUCCUGGUGUAGCGGUGAAAUGCGCAGAUAUCAGGAGGAACACCGGUGGCGAAGGCGGAUCUCUGGGCCAUUACUGACGCUGAGGAGCGAAAGCGUGGGGAGCGAACAGG